CACCCUACGGGAGGCAGCAGUGGGGAAUAUUGGGCAAUGGGCGCAAGCCUGACCCAGCAAUGCCGCGUGAAGGAAGAAGGCCCUCGGGUUGUAAACUUCUUUUAUCAGGGACGAAGGAUGUGACGGUACCUGAUGAAUAAGCUCCGGCUAACUACGUGCCAGCAGCCGCGGUAAUACGGAGGAUGCGAGCGUUAUCCGGAUUUAUUGGGUUUAAAGGGUGCGUAGGCGGAUUUUUAAGUCAGCGGUAAAAUGUCCGGGCUCAACCCGGGCCGGCCGUUGAAACUGGGGAUCUUGAGUGGGCGAGA
rnacentral:rRNA from 1 species